AUAGCUCAGCUGGGAGAGCGCUUGAAUGGCAUUCAAGAGGUCGGCGGUUCGAUCCCGCCU
rnacentral:tRNA from 1 species